GCCCCUUCCGGGAGCUAGCGCGCGGGGCCUCCGGCGCGAAGGUCAGAGGUUCCUCUCCGCCAUGACUAAUAUCUGCUGAGAGCCUUCCAGGUGCUCAGCCAAGUGCUGUGACAAAACGAAGGUGAAAUAAGGUGAGCCAACAUGCAGACAUGUUAUAAUCUCAGAGGGGAGAUAAGCCUAAUAACUAAUAUAAAACAGUGUCAUGGAAGAACUGCAUGAUGCCUUGGGGGCCACAAGGAACAAGUGCCAUCAGGUAGCAAUGCCCAGAGAAGGUUUCACGGACGAGGCGAUUUGUGAACCAGGCCUUGGAUAAGUAACAUUCUAAUGGGCAGGUUGAGGGGAUGGAAGAGGACAAGAAACAGGCCAAAAGUAUGGAGUGCCCAUGGAUUGGUCGAUAAGGGGAUGACAAUCAGGGCAGACUUCAAGGUUAUGAGUAAUCAAGGAAGACAAACCAUCUCAAAGGGGUAAAGAAGAGCAGCAAUAGACAGAGCCCUUCUCCCUGCCCUGAAUCCAGGGGAGAGAAAGAAUGGCCUGCCCUAAACAGGGCUUCAAGCUAACUUGUAUUGUGAUAGGAAGCUCUGGUGUCAGCUCGGGCAGGAAAGUGUAAAGUUAGAGAAUGUAGAAUAACUUGUUCACUGUAGAAAAAUCAUCUUAGAGAUCAUGCAGGUGCCAGGCACAGACAUCCACAAAAGCCCACAUAAGAUGAGGGAGGGAUCUAUUGGAAGGAUAUGGGGAUAUCUCACAGAAUACCAUCACAGAAAGUACAGCCAAACCUCACAGGCAAUGGAACAAGGGCCUGGAAAAACAGGAACAAUGUUCCUCUCAUCUUCCCUGGGGCCUCACCACAUUUUGUCUCUUGGUCCCUGCAUGUUUCUGGGGCAAGCCCUGUUAUUUGACGGCCUCCCUUCUUUUUUGCUGCCCUCUACUACAGCUGGAUACAUUGUUACUUUUCCAGCUCUUAAAGCUAAGGUGGUCCUAGGCUAGAUUCUGAACUUGAGAUAAAGAAAUCUAGGGUUUCUUUUGACCUCUAGGAAAAGUUUUUGCUUUUCUGAUAAAAGGGAGAGAUAGGCCUUGCCCUUUCUUCUGCUCUGAACCCCAGAGUUGUGCUUAGAGUGACAGUAGUGUCUUAUGACCAUGGGAAAACACCUUGAGGUCUAAACGACAGCAGUCUGAGAACAGAAACCCUAGGCUGCUCGCCUCUGCCAGCAACCACCUACACCUGGGCUUUCAGAUUACAUGAGGAAAACAACCCCUCAUGCAUGUGAGCAGUUUGUGCUUGCACCUGAAUGCGUUCCAUCUGACACACAUUCUCUGCAUGGACAUGUCCAUGGCAGAAAACUAUUGCCUCAAGCCCAGUUCUCCAUGACUUCCCAUUUCAGGAAUCCCACCAACUAACUACAGUCUCUUUGUCCCAAGUCCAAAUUCCUGAAUUAAGACUCUAAUGUUCCCAACUUUGGUGAGGUGCCCAAGCCUGGUGCUGUGUUAGAGGACAAAAUCCCACGUUCCACUGAACGUUCAGGAGGAACGAGAGAGGGAACUAGGCGGCAGGACUACGUGAGCAGGACAGGACAGCACAUUGAGUGAUGUCUGCUCCAAUGAGAAGCAGGUAGGGGAAGAGGGUCCACACACCAGAGACAACACCAAGCAGAUGACUGCUUCUUCUUCCCCUUUCUGCCCCAUAGUACUGCUCUCUCAGCUUGCUUCCCCUUAAAUCACCUGUGCCAGGAGGACCAUCCUAGUAGUCAGAUGCCAUAAUCAGAGUGUGGCCUUCACAGUGUCAACAGCUGGGCUCAAAGGCAUAAAAUGAAGGUAAAAAUAAAGCUGAUUCUAGGCAGCAGUGGCUCAGUGCCUCAGUGGGUCCCCAGUGAAUUAUUUUGCCCCAGAGUGCUGAGCUUCAAGACAGUGGUUCUCAACUUUGGCUGCACAUUAGAACCAUCUGGGAAGCUUUAAAAUAUGGUGAUGCCUGCAUUGGUUGAGCAUCCCACUCAACCAAUUGAUUUUGGCUCAGGUCAUGAUCCCAGGGUCGUGGGAUCGAGGCCUGCAUUGGGCUCCACACUGAACAUGGAGCCUGCUUAGGAUUCUCUCUCUCUCUCUCUCUCUCUCUCUCUCUCUCUCUCUCUCU